rnacentral:rRNA from 1 species
AUUGAACACUGGCGGCAGGCUUAACACAUGCAAGUCGAGCGGGGUGAUGGUGCUUGCACUAUCACUUAGCGGCGGACGGGUGAGUAAUGCUUAGGAAUCUGCCUAUUAGUGGGGGAUAACAUCUCGAAAGGGAUGCUAAUACCGCAUACGUCCUACGGGAGAAAGCAGGGGAUCACUUGUGACCUUGCGCUAAUAGAUGAGCCUAAGUCGGAUUAGCUAGUUGGUGGGGUAAAGGCCCACCAAGGCGACGAUCUGUAGCGGGUCUGAGAGGAUGAUCCGCCACACUGGGAAUGAGACACGGGCAAGACUCCUACGGGAGGAAGCAGUGGGGAAUAUUGGACAAUGGGGGGAACCCUGAUCCAGCCAUGCCGCGUGUGUGAAGAAGGCCUUAUGGUUGUAAAGCACUUUAAGCGAGGAGGAGGCUCUUUUGGUUAAUACCCAAGAUGAGUGGACGUUACUCGCAGAAUAAGCACCGGCUAACUCUGUGCCAGCCGCCGCAGUAA